rnacentral:rRNA from 1 species
GAUGAACGCUGGCGGCGUGCCUAAUACAUGCAAGUCGAGCGAACAGACGAGGAGCUUGCUCCUCUGACGUUAGCGGCGGACGGGUGAGUAACACGUGGAUAACCUACCUAUAAGACUGGGAUAACUUCGGGAAACCGGAGCUAAUACCGGAUAAUAUAUUGAACCGCAUGGUUCAAUAGUGAAAGACGGUUUUGCUGUCACUUAUAGAUGGAUCCGCGCCGCAUUAGCUAGUUGGUAAGGUAACGGCUUACCAAGGCGACGAUGCGUAGCCGACCUGAGAGAGUGAUAGUCCACACUGGAGCUGAGACACGGUCCAGACUCCUACGGGAGGCAGCAGUAGGGAAUCUUCCGCAAUGGGCGAAAGCCUGACGGAGCAACGCCGCGUGAGUGAUGAAGGUCUUCGGAUCGUAAAACUCUGUUAUUAGGGAAGAACAAAUGUGUAAGUAACUAUGCACGUCCUGACGGUACCUAAUCAGAAAGCCACGGCUAACUACGUG